ensembl:snoRNA W06H8.17 ncRNA
ACAGCGGCCCGAGCGGGCAGCCCGCGGCCCCGUCGAUAAAUCGAGGAGAAGAAGAAGAAGAUGGAAAGAGGACUGGUCUGGUUUCCACUAGGACUAGAGGCAAUAUGUGUAGAUUCGAUUCAUUCGAUUCUGUUCCGUUUCUUUCUCUCGUACUUCAGCCCUCCAUCGAGUAUCGAUUGUCGUUUUUGUACAGUUU